CGUUCCAUAGUAUAGCAGUUAGCAUGUCUGUUUUACACGCAGAAGGUCCUGGGUUCGUGCUCCAGUGAAGCCA
rnacentral:tRNA from 1 species